UACGAGGGGGGCGAGCGUUGUUCGGAAUUAUUGGGCGUAAAGGGCGCGUAGGCGGUGCGGUAAGUCACCUGUGAAACCCCCGGGCUCAACUCGGGGAACGGUGUGGAUACUACCGAUCUUGAGGCAAUCAGAGGAUGAUGGAAUUCCCGGUGUAGCGGUGAAAUGCGUAGAGAUCGGGAGGAACACCAGUGGCGAAGGCGGCCUUCUGGACCAGUACUGACGCUCAUGCACGAAAGCGUGGGGAGCAAACAGG
rnacentral:rRNA from 1 species